UCGGAUGGUGAAAGCCCCGGGCUCAACCUGGGAACUGCAUCCGAUACUGGAUCACUAGAAUGCGGGAGAGGGAGGUAGAAUCCAUGUGUAGCAGUGAAAUGCGUAGAUAUAUGGAGGAAUACCAGUGGCGAAGGCGGCCUCCUGGCUCGACAUUGACGCUGAGGUGCGAAAGCGUGGGGAGCAAACGGGAUUAGAUACCCCGGUAGUCACGCCGUAAACGAUGUCUACUAGCUGUGUGUGCCUUUAAGGCGUGCGUAGCGAAGCUAACGCGCUAAGUAGACCGCCUGGGGAGUACGGCCGCAAGGUUAAAACUCAAAUGAAUUGACCUACGGGAGGCAGCAGUGGGGAAUUUUCCACAAUGGACGAAAGUCUGACGGAGCGACGCUGCGUGAAGGAUGACGGCCUGCGGGUUGUAAACUUCUUUUCUCGAAGAAGAAGCUCUGACGGUAUUCGAGGAAUAAGCAUCGGCUAACUCCGUGCCAGCAGCCGCGGUAAUACGGAGGAUGCAAGUGUUAUUCGGAAUGAUUGGGCGUAAAGCGUCUGUAGGCUGUAUAGAAAGUCUUUUGUUAAAUGCCUCGGCUCAACCGAGAUCCAGCAAAGGAAACUUCUAUACUUGAGGGAAGUAGAGGUACAGGGAACUCCCGGUGGAGCGGUGAAAUGCGUAGAUAUCGGGAAGAACACCAGUGGCGAAGGCGCUCUGCUGGGCCAUCACUGACGCUCAUGGGCGAAAGCCAGGGGAGCGAAAGGGAUUAGAUACCCCUGUAGUCCUGGCCGUAAACGAUGAACACUAGGUGUCGGGGGAAUCGACCCCCUCGGUGUCGUAGCCAACGCGUUAAGUGUUCCGCCUGGGGAGUACGCACGCAAGUGUGAAACUCAAAUGAAUUGACGGA
rnacentral:rRNA from 1 species